rnacentral:rRNA from 1 species
AAGUCUGACGGAGCAACGCCGCGUGAGUGAAGAAGGUUUUCGGAUUGUAAAGCUCUGUCUUCUGAGAAGAAUGUCAUCCUUGAAAAUAUUGAGGGUGAAUGACGGUACUAGAGGAGGAAGCCACGGCUAACUACGUGCCAGCAGCCGCGGUAAUGCGUAGGGGACAAGCGUUGUCCGGAUUUACUGGGCGUAAAGGGCACGCAGGCGGUUUUUUAAGUCAGAUGUGAAAGGUACCGGCUCAACCGGUGACAUGCAUUUGAAACUGAAAGACUUGAGUAUUGGAGAGGCAAGUGGAAUUCCUAGUGUAGCGGUUAAAUGCGUAGAUAUUAGGAGGAACACCGGUGGCGAAGGCGGCUUGCUGGACAAAUACUGACGCUGAGGUGCGAAAGCGUGGGGAGCAAACA